GGCGGCGUGCUAACACAUGCAAGUCGAACGAGAAAGUGGAGCAAUCCAUGAGUAAAGUGGCGACCGGGUGAGUAACACGUGACUAACCUACCUCCGAGUGGGGAAUAACUCCGGGAAACCGGGGCUAAUACCGCAUAACAUCGCAAGAUCAAAGCAGCAAUGCGCUUGGAGAGGGGGUCGCGGCUGAUUAGCUCGUUGGCGGGGUAACGGCCCACCAAGGCGAAGAUCGGUAUCCGGCCUGAGAGGGCGCACGGACACACUGGAACUGAAACACGGUCCAGACUCCUACGGGAGGCAGCAGUGGGGAAUUUUGCGCAAUGGGGGAGACCCUGACGCAGCAACGCCGCGUGGAGGAUGAAGCCCUUUGGGGCGUAAACUCCUUUCGACUCGGACGAUAAUGACGGUACGAGUGGAAGAAGCACCGGCUAACUCUGUGCCAGCAGCCGCGGUAAUACAGAGGGUGCGAGCGUUGUUCGGAAUUAUUGGGCGUAAAGGGCGCGUAGGCGGUGCGGUAAGUCACCUGUGAAAUCUCCUGNCUUAACUGGGAGUCUGCAGGCGAAACUACCGUGCUGGAGU
rnacentral:rRNA from 1 species